CACGAGAUCAGGAGUUUGAGACCAGCCUGGCCAAUAUGGGGGAAAUUUGGAAAAAGACACACAAACCCAGACACCAACAUCUGGAAACCUGGGAGAAAGCCAUGUGCAGACGAAGGCAGAAACUGGGGUAAUGCUUCUACAAGCUAAGGAACACCAAAUGCUCCUGCAAGCUAAGGAACGCCAAAGAUUGCCAGCAAACCACCAGAAGCUAGGGGAGAGGAAUGGCACAGAUUCUUCCUCACAGUCCACAGAAGGAACCAAACCUACCAACACCUUUAUAUGGGAUGUCUAGCCUCUAGAACUGUAAAAUAAUAAAUUUAUGUUUGGCAGUCCUGGGAAACUAAUACAAUCAGUAUUCCAGUUGGGAGGUAAUUUUGAUUUUAAAUUUUAUUAUUUAUUAUUUUAUUAUACCUUAUAUUAAGUAAUUGUCAUCAUCUUCAUUCCCAAAAAGUCUAUGAGAAACAAUAGUUUUUUUUGAUGCAGUCCUAAAUUAAGGUCAAGUGAGGAAAUUAGGAUCACUGAGCCUUCAGAAGUAGCAUUUUAACAAGCUUAAUCUUUUUUUUUUUUUUUUUUUACAGCCCAGAGGUCUUUUAUUUAUUUAUUAACACCUGUUAUGCCAUGAAUUCAUAGGGAAUAGGUUCCAGCAGCUCAGGCUCCUUCGCAUUGGUUCUCACAAAGUGUGCUUCUCUGGGUGGAGCAGGCUGGUGCUUCUGUUGAACCCAGGUACCUUUCUAUUUGGCUUCCUUCUUUUUCUGAUCAUUUUCCUUCAUGUGUUUCAGGAAACUAUCUCAGCUUUUAGAGUGCUUAAUGUGCUCAAUACGCACAUUAAUUCUCUUGGCAAGAAUCUUGCCCUUAACUUGUGUGUUUACAACAAUGCCAACAGCAUGCUGGGGGACAUUAUAGACUCUUCCAGUUUUGCCAUGGUAACACUUGUGGGGCAUUCCUUUUUGAACAGUACCCAUUCCCUUGAUGUCUA
rnacentral:lncRNA from 1 species